CGCAUGCAUAAACCCCCAUAAGGUAUGUGCAAUAUUCCACAGGCUUAUAUGAGAUGACACUUAAUGCGCAUGCAUAAACCCCCAUAAGGUAUGUGCAAUAUUCCACAGGCUUAUAUGAGAUGACACUUAAUGCGCAUGCAUAAACCCCCAUAAGGUAUGUGCAAUAUUCCACAGGCUUAUAUGAGAUGACACUUAAUGCGCAUGCAUAAACCCCCAUAAGGUAUGUGCAAUAUUCCACAGGCUUAUAUGAGAUGACACUUAAUGCGCAUGCAUAAACCCCCAUAAGGUAUGUGCAAUAUUCCACAGGCUUAUAUGAGAUGACACUUA